rnacentral:lncRNA from 1 species
GGGAGUGAAUCUGGACAGUUCAUUGUGUUUCAAUUUGGGCCGUCCAUCGCGAUUCACUUUGGACCGUCUGAUCGCUUUUAAUCUGGUCGUUCAACUGCGUUUGGGAGGGAGCGCAUCCAGGCCGUCGUGCGCGCGGGAACGGAUCUCAGCCGCUCAAUCGCGCGCAUGCGGGAUUGCCCACGUGACCCCCCUACGUGGCUCCCGCAUCAGUGCCUCUGCCACUUGGCACGUCCUGGUUGGUCGGGGCUGCUGACCGGGCGUCUGACGUGACAAAU